ACUUUGCUAGCAUGUGAGAUGAACGCAAUUGUGCAGUAGUUUGAACAUUCCAUGGCAUUGCCUUUCUUUGUGAUUGGAAUGAAAACUGACAUUUUCCAGUCUGUCAUUCUUAGUUAAAAUCUCACCAUUUUCCAAGAAGCUCUCCUUGAUCACCAAAUACAAAUACAGUCAUUCUCUAUGACCUGAUUUUAAUUCUUCACUGAACUUAUCAUUAUCUGUGUCGUGUUUGUUUCUGUUUUAUUUAAUAACUGUAUCCAACAAUCCACUAAAAUGUGAGCUUGAUAAGACUAGGAGUCUUGUCUGUCUUGUCCAUCACUGUAUCAUGUGCUUAUAAAUGACUGCAAAGUAUGUUGCAAUGUUGAGAAAGAGGAAAAACAGAGAAAGGAGAGAAAGCUAUUAUUAUUGAAUAUCAUGAUCUUAAUCUUACUGCACUCUGGGUGACAUCCUCUAAAUCUGUUUUCUGUUAUGUUGCUCUGUAUUUCUUCUUUACUAUUUCUAUUCUUCUGGAAAAAUCACUUUAAACAUAUCUGUUUUGUGGCCUAUUUAAGGAUUUUGCCUGUGUGUUUUCUCAUUCAGAGUGUGCUCCUUGCAUUACAUCUGCUGAUUCUCCUGCAUGGUUUUUGCUUCCUCCUGUAUUUUAUUUUGUAUGAUUCUGUGUUAUUUCUACUGAGGGCUCAUCCUGCACAGCACUUUCCCUGUCCAUGAAACUCAUAUAAUCUUCACUGUAAAAAUAUCCUUCACAGCUAUGAAUUUCUUGGCUGUAGGUUGCUAUAUCACAAAACCAUAAACGUGCAUCAUAUACUUGCAUGGCUUGUGCUGGUGUUUGCUCCUUUUGUUGGGGUGGGGGUACCUUUCUUCUUUCCAUCAAGGCUCUUGAGGAAGUCAAGCUUCUUUCUCACUCUUUCCUGCGGCCACUGAAUAAAAUUUCUCUAAACUCCCUUUGAUAGAAAAGGGAAUUCGGUGAGGCCUCCAGCUUUACGUAGUUUUUUUUUUUUUUUUUUU
rnacentral:lncRNA from 1 species